AGAGAAACAUUCCCCUUCUUCACCAGGAAAUCAGGAAGGAAAGAGACUUUUUCAUUCCCAGCCAAAAUACAGAUGAAGGCUGGGGAGAGACAUUGGCCCUUGCAGUUCUUCAUGCCUAGACGAAAGAGGGGAGAUAUUUUAGGAUUCAAGGGAGGUGGAGAAUUCUAGGGAAGAAGAAACUAGAGAGCUGAUGUGAAGGUAAGAACUGGCAAGAUUAAAAUCAAAGAGCUUGAGAUGAAUUGGUCCAACUAAAUAGCGAUACUCAGGGGUCAAGUGUUUGUCACUGUGAGAAAAGAUUGGCUGUCAGUCCAUUACAGAAUAAAGGUAGGAGAAUGAGAUGUAGGAUUUAAAUAUACAGGACUUUGGUCCUAGAGUUUCCACCAGGGCUUCUGUAUCCAUGUAUCUCCGGAGGAUUGUGAGACUUCUCAUUUGGAUAUCAGUCUCCAUGAAGCUUGGCAGGAAGGAAGAGAAAGAGAACGAGAGCAACAGCAACAACAUACAUUGAAAUCUGGUGGAACCCUGCCCUGACUUCAGACCAACCCAUCCUUCACCUGUGACAAUACUACACCUCACAUGGUUUGUGAUGUCACCUGUGCCCUUCAUGACAACUCUGGCACAUCAUCAUCAUCAGAAGGGUUAGGCCUCUGAAUCUUCUCUCCUCCUUCUCCUGAUAUCAUGAAAAUACCGUCAGAUUUUGAGAGACAAACUCUUAGCAUCGUAUUUGGAAUGAAAAGAUGUUAAGGAGAAAAAUUAGUCAGUAGAAGAAGGCUUUGCACAUGGCAGUUUCGCUAGCUCAAUCUCUAGCAUUUUUCUACCUCUAGAGAAGAGUGGAGAGCAAGCAAGAUAAAAAAGAGCCCUCUGCAUGUUACUUUGGAAAAGCACUGUCAACCAGAGAAAAUCAGCGCUCUCCAAAUUGAUGUGCUGCAGCUACUUGAAAAUCCAGCUAGAUGUAAAAUGUAUAUAUUUUGAAUCCA